GCCCUGGCCCUGGGAGACCCUGAAGCUGACCGUCUUGCGAGCCUCUGGUUCGGCGCUGGCUUUAGAGAUGGAAAAGGUCUGGGCCUUCCCCCUGUUUCUGGCGUGCCUGUAAGAUCUGUGGCUGCUGAAUCCGCAACCCGGGCAGGAUCAAGGAAAGCCUCCAAAGCUCCAUAACGGCCCUCCAUCCCCAUCCUCACUGGCUGACCGCUGGGCUUUGGUUUGGUCCGUCCAAUCCACUCUAGGCUCCGAUUUAGCUCUUGUUCCCAGUCAGGGACUUUGAACGUGGCAGGUGCUUCAGUGACCUUAGAAUCUCUAGAGGAAUGCGCCAGAGGUGAAAGAAGAUGCCCUUCAUGGUUUCUUAAAACGCCUGCAGCAGAACCAGUGGAGGAUCUCCAGUUCUAGGCGGUGGGGUAGUAGAUACUACUCCUGCAUACUGGAGAAUUCUGCCUUGCCUCGAUGGCCCUGGAAACAAUGCCUUUCAAUCGAACCAGG